GACGAACGCUGGCGGCGUGCUUAACACAUGCAAGUCGAACGGUGAAGGGACCGGUUUUUGCUGGUUCUGGAUGAGUGGCGAACGGGUGAGUAACACGUGAGUAACCUGCCCCCUUCUUCUGGAUAACCGCAUGAAAGUGUGGCUAAUACGGGAUAUUCUGCGCCUGCUGCAUGGUGGGUGUGGGAAAGAUAUUGUUUCGGUGGGGGAUGGGCUCGCGGCCUAUCAGCUUGUUGGUGGGGUGAUGGCCUACCAAGGCGGUGACGGGUAGCCGGCCUGAGAGGGUGGACGGUCACACUGGGACUGAGACACGGCCCAGACUCCUACGGGAGGCAGCAGUGGGGAAUAUUGCACAAUGGGCGCAAGCCUGAUGCAGCGACGCCGCGUGAGGGAUGGAGGCCUUCGGGUUGUAAACCUCUUUCGCCAGUGAAGCAGGCCUGUCCCUUUUGUGGGUGGGUUGACGGUAGCUGGACAAGAAGCGCCGGCUAACUACGUG
rnacentral:rRNA from 1 species